rnacentral:rRNA from 1 species
AACGAACGCUGGCGGCAUGCCUAACACAUGCAAGUCGAACGUGAUCCGGGACUUCGGUUCCGGUGAAAGUGGCGGACGGGUGAGUAACGCGUGGGAACCUGCCCAGUGGUAGGGGAUAACCGCGGGAAACUGCGGCUAAUACCCUAUGUGCCCUGCGGGGCAAAGAUUUAUCGCCAUUGGAGGGGCCCGCGUCGGAUUAGGUAGUUGGUGAGGUAACGGCUCACCAAGCCAUCGAUCCGUAGCUGGUCUGAGAGGAUGAUCAGCCACACUGGGACUGAGACACGGCCCAGACUCCUACGGGAGGCAGCAGUGGGGAGUAUUGGACAAUGGGGGCAACCCUGAUCCAGCAAUGCCGCGUGAGUGAUGAAGGCCUUAGGGUUGUAAAGCUCUUUCGGCGGGGAAGAUGAUGACGGUACCCGCAGAAGAAGCCCCGGCUAACUUCGUGCCAGCCGCCGCCGUAAAAC